rnacentral:rRNA from 1 species
UAUAUAAAGUCUGACCUGCCCACUGAAAAUUUUAAAUGGCUGCAGUAAUUUGACUGUACAAAGGUAGCAUAAUCAUUAGUUUUUUAAUUAAAAGCUUGUAUGAAAGGUUGGACGAAGUAAAAUCUGUCUCUUUUUAAUAUAAUUAGAAUUUAAUUUUUAAGUAAAAAAGCUUAAAUUUUUAUAAAAGACGAGAAGACCCUAUAGAGUUUAAUAAUUUUAAUAAAAUAUUUAAUUAAGAUUUAUUAAUUUUAUUUAAUUAAAAUUAUUUUAUUGGGGUAAUAAAAAGAUUAAAAAAAUUCUUUUUUUUUAAUACAUUAAUUUAUGAAUAUAUGAUCCAUUUAUAGUGAUUAAAAGAUUAAAUUACCUUAGGGAUAACAGCGUAAUUUUUUUAAAGAGUUCUUAUCGAUAAAAAAGUUUGCGACCUCGAUGUUGGAUUAAAGAUUAAUUUAGGUGUAGAAGUUUAAAUUUUUGGUCUGUUCGACCAUUAAAUCUUUACAUGAUCUGAGUUCAAACCGGUGUAAGCCAGGUUGGUUUCUAUCUUUAUUAAUUUUUUAUAUUUUAGUACGAAAGGACCAAAUAUAAAAUAUAUAAAUAUUUUUAUUUUGAAUAUUAUUAAAUUAGUUAUUUUGGCAGAUUAGUGUAAUGAAUUUAGAAUUCAUUUAUGUAAAUAUUUUACAAAUAAUACUUGUUUAUAAAAGAUAUAAUUAUUUCUUUUAUUUUAAUUAUUUUAUUAAUUAUUUGUGUUUUAGUAGGUGUAGCUUUUUUAACUUUAUUAGAACU